rnacentral:rRNA from 1 species
UGAGGAAUAUUGGUCAAUGGGCGCGGGCCUGAACCAGCCAUCCCGCGUGCAGGAAGAAGGCCCUAUGGGUUGUAAACUGCUUUUUCGCAUGAAGAACAUCCCGAUCGUGAUCGGGACUGACGGUAAUGCGUGAAUAAGCACCGGCUAACUCCGUGCCAGCAGCCGCGGUAAUACGGAGGGUGCAAGCGUUAUCCGGAUUUAUUGGGUUUAAAGGGUGCGUAGGCGGCCUUUUAAGUCAGUGGUGAAAUCCUGCAGCUCAACUGUAGAACAGCCAUUGAAACUGAAAGGCUUGAGUGAUCUUGAGGUAGGCGGAAUGUGUAGUGUAGCGGUGAAAUGCUUAGAUAUUACACAGAACACCGAUUGCGAAGGCAGCUUACUAAGGGUUUACUGACGCUGAUGCACGAAAGCGUGGGGAUCAAACAGG